CGGCUGGGGAGGGGCUUUUUGGUUUUAAUGCUAAAGGUGUAAUGGGGAGGGUUGAGGGCAUAGCCUCAUCAUAUGGGAAAGACGAAAAGAAGAGCCUAUGAGACGUUGCCUACUGAGAUGGUAACUUGCUUGCUUUUUCCCCCCUUGUGCUGGGUUUAGUACCAAUGAAAAAGAAGUUGUGCGUCAUAGUCUACUGCCCUCAUGCAAUGUAAAGUGAGGGACAGCAGCGAGCCUGUGACCCCUGUUGAUGCCAGGGAAGAGCCGUCUAUCUGGGAUCCGAGCAGACGCCACUCUCCGUGAGAUAAGUGUCUGGUUUGGUGAUUGCUGUGCUCGUGGUCCACCUUGGUCCUGCUACAGACGCCCUGUUAGCUGGGGCUGGGUUUGUAAGAAAUGGUUCUUGACCAGCUGCGCUUACGAGAGAGACAAGGUCCCCAUUUUCAGGGGCUGCUCAUUUCUCUGGCCAGGAGCGGUGUGUCCUCCGCAGCAGAAAGUUGCAUCUAGGAGGAUGACUCCAGGUGUUUGCAGAGGAAUCGUCCAGGAGCCGUAGCCGGACAAGAAUAUGGCAGAAGUGGACCUGAGCAGUCUGGACAUGCUGCUAAGGAGACGUGAAUAGUCCUCAUGUUUCUGCCUUCUGUAUCACUGGCUGUGAGUAAGAGUACCAAGGAAAAAGUAGUCACACAUCAGAGUCUACUGCCCUCAUGCGAUGGAAAGCGAGCGAGAGCAUCGAGACUCUGAGCAUUGUUGAUGCCACGCAAAAGCCGUCCAUCUCAGAGCUGAGGAGACGCCGCUGUCAGUGAGAUAAGUGUCUGGUUUGGUGAGGGCUCUGCUCACGCCUCACCUGAGUUCAGGUAGGGAAGACCAGUACAGCUGGGCUGGGUUUGUUUGACAAGGUUUCUGAUUAGCUGUGGUUACGGGAGAGAAAAGGUCCCUAUUUUCAGAGGUUGCUCAUUUCUCUGGUCAGGAACAGUGUCUCUUCCGCAGCAGAAGGUUGCCUCCGGGAGGAUGACUCCAGGUAGUGAGUUGAUUGCCUUCCUCCCAUGUUUUUUCUCUCUCUCUCUCUCUUUUCUAGUAUGUUGGCCAACACACACCCUCUAUCUCUCUCUGUCUAUCCUUGCCUUUCCUCAUGCUGUCUCCCUUCAUAAGACACGGUCAGGCGUGAUACGUGUGCAUCGCCACAGGCUAUGGCUCGGGAGCCAUGGAGAAGUAGGAGAGGGCGAAAAUCAUGCAGGGCUGUGACUGUCGGUGUUAACUCGGUCUCUGUUCAUCAAGUGGGGCUGAUGUAGAUGGGACUGGAGAGAGGUGUCAUGAUGAGGGCAAGAUUUGAAGCAGCAAUAGAGCUUUGUGUAGUGAUGGUUCAUGCUUGGCUUUUGCAGCUGCGCUUCCAGAGGAAUUUUCCAAGAGCCCUAUCCUGAGAAGAAAGUGGCAGAAGUGGACAUGAGCAGACUGGACAUCCAUGUAAGCAGACAUGAACAGUCCUCAGCUUUCUGCCUCCUGUUUAACUAGCUGUGAGUAAGUGGUCAGUGCUUUGAAUUCCUCAUCUUUGCUCGCUGUAGUAUUCUUCACAGGCCGUGUGCUUCCUCGUUGGGUUCGGGACUCUGUGAGAUUACGGCUGGGGAGUGGCCUGAGUCUGCUGUGCAGAGUGACUAUGUCGGGUGCCGUUGCAAAGGGGUGCUUUUUGGUUGUAAUGCUAAAGGUAUUAUGGGGAGGGUUGAGGGCGGAGCCCC